AAUCAACGCUGGCGGCGUGCCUAACACAUGCAAGUCGAACGCGAAAAUCCCGAAAGGGAUCAGUAGAGUGGCAAACGGGUGAGUAACACGUGGGUGACCUGCCUUCGAGUGGGGGAUAACGUCCCGAAGGGACGCUAAUACCGCAUGACAUCCUGCUCUUGAACGAGUGGAGAUCAAAGCCGGGGAUCGCAAGACCUAGCGCUCAAAGAGGGGCCCGCGCCUGAUUAGCAGUUGGUGGGGUAACGGCUCACCAAGGCAACGAUCAGUAUCCGGCCUGAGAGGGCGGACGGACACACUGGGACUGAGACACGGCCCAGACUCCUACGGGAGGCAGCAGUGGGGAAUUGUUCGCAAUGGGCGCAAGCCUGACGACGCAACGCCGCGUGGA
rnacentral:rRNA from 1 species